UACAAAUUUAUAUUUCUAAAAUAAAACAAAGUAAGACAUGGUUGAAAUUUUAAAGUUUGUAUACAUUAUUUUAAUUAUAACUUUUAUUUCUAUCACUCUAACAGAUGGAAUUUAUUUAUGCACCGAAGAUAAUGAUUGUGGUGAAAAGUAUUGUCCCCCUCCUGCAGUUGCAAAGUGCAUAAGACAUGUUUGUCAAUGUGUGUAUUAGUGGCAAUUUAUAUAAGAAAAAAUUCCAUGUAUUUCCAAUAUAAUGUUGUUUCUUUAAUAAUUUCUCGCACAUAA